AUUGGGUUUUGGCUAGUGCACUCAAAUUGAGAACACAGCUUCACAGGCAGAACACAACACACAGAUGCAAGGUCUCCUGAUGGCAGAAAACCUUAUAACCAGAGACGGGGUUACUCCGUGUUAGCCAGGAUGGUCUCGAUCUCCUGACCUCGUGAUCCACCUGCCUUGGCCUCCCAAAGUGCUGGGAUUCUGUAAUCCCAGUGAGCCACCGCGCCUGGCCCAUAAUCAACCUCAGCUGCCAACGCCAGAAUCAACCUCAGCUGCCAAAUGCUAGACUGAAAAAAGAAUGUAAACAGCUUGAUGGAGGGGAGGAUCCUGGUGCACCUGUGGUUUUGACAGCUUUUGCUGCUGCUUGAGGAGGAAACAGGUUGCCUGUUUGUUCUUCAAGAGCACUUCUGGCAUCCAGGUUCCAAAGAUCUUAAAGAUGUCCCAGAAAAGUUCUAGAGUACUAUCAGAUCUCACACUUUGCCUUGGAAGCUGUCAUUCCCCUCCAUUGGCCCCACAACUGCAGUAUAAUCUUCAGUGACAGGAGAAAAUCGACCUUGUUUGUACAGAAGUCUCAGCAGGAAUAGGCAGAUGCCUGUUUUUGCUGCCAAGGAUGGAGGAUUGGAAUGGGCCCAUUAUAUAUUUUGAGGCUUUGAAGAAAAGUCUCAGGAUAUGUUUUCCCAUUAAAAUACUGUUAUAAACAA
ensembl:lncRNA LINC02024 long intergenic non-protein coding RNA 2024